GGGCCCAUAGCUCAGCUGGGAGAGCGCCGCGAUGGCAUCGCGGAGGCCGGCGGUUCGAGCCCGCCUGGGUCCA
rnacentral:tRNA from 1 species